rnacentral:misc_RNA from 1 species
UCUCCGUAGGUGAACCAGCGGAGGGAUCAUUACAGGACUCGCAAGACUCCUACAAUCCUGUGAACUUAACUAUAAGCACGUUGCUCCGGCGGGUGUCUCGGAGGUGGAUCUCGCUUCCCGAGACGCUAAACCCGCCGGCCGCCUACCAUACUCUGACACUCUAUGUUUGCAACUCGCGUACUAUCAAACAAGUUAAAUCAUACAACAACGAACCGCUCGGUUCUGGCACCGAUGAAGAACGCACCCGACCGGAAGAGAACGCCGACUGCACAACAGUAA